rnacentral:rRNA from 1 species
AUUGAACGCUGGCGGCAGGCCUAACACAUGCAAGUCGAACGAGUGGCGGACGGGUGAGUAAUGUCUGGGAAACUGCCUGAUGGAGGGGGAUAACUACUGGAAACGGUAGCUAAUACCGCAUACCAUCAGAUGUGCCCAGAUGGGAUUAGAUAGGUGGUGGGGUACCGGCUCACCAAGGCGACGAUCCCUUGCUGGUCUGAGAGGGUGACCGGCCAGACUGGAACUGAGACACGGUCCAGACUCGUACGGGAGGCAGCAGUGGGGAAUAUUGCACAAUGGGCGCAAGCCUGAUGGAGCAAUGCCGCGUGAAUGAAGAAGGCCUUCGGGUUGUAAAGUACUUUCAGCGGGGAGGCGUUACCCGCAGAAGAAGCACCGGCUAACUCCGUGCCAGCAGCCGCGGUAAUAC